GACGAACGCUGGCGGCGUGCUUAACACAUGCAAGUCGAACGGAAAGGCCCUGCUUUUGUGGGGUGCUCGAGUGGCGAACGGGUGAGUAACACGUGAGUAACCUGCCCUUGACUUUGGGAUAACUUCAGGAAACUGGGGCUAAUACCGGAUAGGAGCUCCUGCUGCAUGGUGGGGGUUGGAAAGUUUCGGCGGUUGGGGAUGGACUCGCGGCUUAUCAGCUUGUUGGUGGGGUAGUUGCUUACCAAGGCUUUGACGGGUAGCCGGCCUGAGAGGGUGACCGGCCACAUGGGGACUGAGAUACGGCCCAGACUCCUACGGGAGGCAGCAGUGGGGAAUAUUGCACAAUGGGCGGAAGCCUGAUGCAGCAACGCCGCGUGCGGGAUGACGGCCUUCGGGUUGUAAACCGCUUUCGCCUGUGACGAAGCGUGAGUGACGGUAAUGGGUAAAGAAGCACCGGCUAACUACGUG
rnacentral:rRNA from 1 species